UCCUACGGGAGGCAGCAGUAGGGAAUAUUGGUCAAUGGACGCAAGUCUGAACCAGCCAUGCCGCGUGCAGGAAGACGGCCCUCUGGGUUGUAAACUGCUUUUAUAUAGGAAGAAACCCCUGAAUGCGUUCGGGGCUGACGGUACUAUAUGAAUAAGGAUCGGCUAACUUCGUGCCAGCAGCCGCGGUAAGACGAAGGAUCCAAGCGUUGUCCGGAUUUACUGGGUUUAAAGGGUGCGUAGGCGGAUAUUUAAGUCAGUGGUGAAAUCCCAUAGCUCAACUAUGGAACUGCCAUUGAAACUGGAUAUCUUGAAUACGGUUGAGGUAGAUGGAAUAUAACAUGUAGCGGUGAAAUGCUUAGAUAUGUUAUAGAACACCGAUUGCGAAGGCAGUCUACUAAGCCGUGAUUGACGCUGAGGCACGAAAGCGUGGGGAGCGAACAGGAUUAGAUACCCUGGUAGUCCACGCCCUAAACGUUGAUUACUCGCUGUUGGCGAUAUACUGUCAGCGGCUAAGCGAAAGCGUUAAGUAAUCCACCUGGGAAGUACGACCGCAAGGUUGAAACUCA
rnacentral:rRNA from 1 species